rnacentral:misc_RNA from 1 species
CAAUCAGAAUAUGCUUAUAUAAUUUUGUUUGCCCCCAUAGAAGAAAAUUCCUAGAUCCAUCUCUGCAUUUGAGGGCUAUGCCGGCCUAUUUAUAUCACAUUAUGUGGCUUUUAUUUGCCUGGUGAACAAUUGUAAAAUAAUAAAAUAGUUUUGAUUGUUGGUUAGUUGGUUAUUUUGAUCAAUCAGAAUAUGCUUAUAUAAUUUUGUUUGCCCCCAUAGAAGAAAAUUCCUAGAUCCAUCUCUGCAUUUGAGGGCUAUGCCGGCCUAUUUAUAUCACAUUAUGUGGCUUUUAUUUGCCUGGUGAACAAUUGUAAAAUAAUAAAAUAGUUUUGAUUGUUGGUUAGUUGGUUAUUUUGAUUAAUUAGAAUACGCAUAUAUAAAUCAUUUAGAGUGGAGAAAGC